CCUCCUCAUAUCUCUUUAUGAGAUCUUCAACCCCCAAUCAAACUCUUGCCCAAGUAAAAUCUGUUAUCAUUUUCACUAUCAAUAUAUUGCUUCUCUCUCUCUUUCUCAAUCUCUAUGUAUGUGUGUGUCUAUUCUCCAAAAUUAUUUCUUGAUUUAAUACCAUAGAAGACCCAAUAUGGGAUGAUGGGCAUUUCAAGACAAGGCAUAUGAAGAUGAAAAUUAUUAGACACACAUUAGCAUUUGGAGAAGCAACAUACUAUAGAAGCAAUAUACUUUUUUAUUUUUAUUUUUAUAAUCAAUACUCAUGUAUUUUGAUUAGACUUCGCUUUAGAUAAACUUUAUUUGUAUGUUUUAGUUUUAGGAGUUUGUAAGAGAUAUUAUUGUAAUAUGGUAUAGUUCUUAAUUUUAUGAUCAUGAGCGCAAAAUUUUGUUGUUA